GCUUGCUGUUUCGCUGACGAGUGGCGGACGGGUGAGUAAUGUCUGGGAAACUGCCUGAUGGAGGGGGAUAACUACUGGAAACGGUAGCUAAUACCGCAUAACGUCGCAAGACCAAAGAGGGGGACCUUCGGGCCUCUUGCCAUCGGAUGUGCCCAGAUGGGAUUAGCUAGUAGGUGGGGUAACGGCUCACCUAGGCGACGAUCCCUAGCUGGUCUGAGAGGAUGACCAGCCACACUGGAACUGAGACACGGUCCAGACUCCUACGGGAGGCAGCAGUGGGGAAUAUUGCACAAUGGGCGCAAGCCUGAUGCAGCCAUGCCGCGUGUAUGAAGAAGGCCUUCGGGUUGUAAAGUACUUUCAGCGGGGAGGAAGGGAGUAAAGUUAAUACCUUUGCUCAUUGACGUUACCCGCAGAAGAAGCACCGGCUAACUCCGUGCCAGCAGCCGCGGUAAUACGGAGGGUGCAAGCGUUAAUCGGAAUUACUGGGCGUAAAGCGCACGCAGGCGGUUUGUUAAGUCAGAUGUGAAAUCCCCGGGCUCAACCUGGGAACUGCAUCUGAUACUGGCAAGCUCGAGUCUCGUAGAGGGGGGUAGAAUUCCAGGUGUAGCGGUGAAAUGCGUAGAGAUCUGGAGGAAUACCGGUGGCGAAGGCGGC
rnacentral:rRNA from 1 species